CCCUUAGAUGUUCUGGGCCGCACGCGCGCUACACUGAUGCAUUCAACGAGUUUCUUCCUGGUCCGAGAGGAAUGGGUAACCUUUUGAAAGUGCAUCGUGAUAGGGAUAGACUAUUGCAAUUAUUGGUCUUCAACGAGGAAUUCCUAGUAGACGUAGUUCAUCAGACUGCAUCGAUUACGUCCCUGCCCUUUGUACACACCGCCCGUCGCUCCUACCGAUUGAAUGAUCCGAUGAAUAUCAUGGAUUGAGAGUACGAAUGGGUUCGCUCAUUUCUGCUGCUCGAGAAGUGAAGUAAAUCUUAUCAUUUAGAGGAAGGAGAAGUCGUAACA
rnacentral:rRNA from 1 species